rnacentral:rRNA from 1 species
UACGUAGGGUGCAAGCGUUAAUCGGAAUUACUGGGCGUAAAGCGUGCGCAGGCGGUUUUGGAAGUCAGAUGUGAAAUCCCCGGGCUUAACCUGGGAACUGCGUUUGAAACUACAAGGCUAGAGUGUGGCAGAGGGGGGUGGAAUUCCACGUGUAGCAGUGAAAUGCGUAGAGAUGUGGAGGAACACCGAUGGCGAAGGCAGCCCCCUGGGUUAACACUGACGCUCGGGCACGAAAGCGUGGGGAGCAAACAGG